GUGACUCCACUCAAAUUCAACAUGUAAAAUUUCCAACCACUACUGAAUGUAAUCAACGUAACAAACUACAAACAGUCGAGAUUGCAGGUUAUGCAUCCAAGUUCAUGGGUCCAAAUAAUGAAAGAGGAAAUGACAGACCAACAACUCUGCAGUGUGCAGACAUUCCCGUUGUCAGCUGUGAGACCUCUAGGAACUGUUUGCAGCGCAGCCUUCACCCAGAUGACCUGUCCAGACUCUACCAACACUGGUUCUGUGGACAAUCUGAUACAGUGGAUAUAUCUCC